rnacentral:pre_miRNA from 1 species
AAAGGACAUCAAAAUGGGAUAUACAUACAUGUACACACACAUGUCAUCCACACACAUACAUAUAUAUAUGUUUGUAUGGAUAUGUGUGUGUAUGUGUGUGUAUACACAGAAC